rnacentral:pre_miRNA from 1 species
UCUUAUGGAUGAGUAAAGGAAGUUGUUUCUUGAGAUGGAAUUUACUCCUGGUGAAUGAAAAUGCUGUGAA